AGUGAACGCUGGCGGUAGGCCUAACACAUGCAAGUCGAACGGCAGCACAGAGGAGCUUGCUCCUUGGGUGGCGAGUGGCGGACGGGUGAGGAAUACGUCGGAAUCUACUCUGUCGUGGGGGAUAACGUAGGGAAACUUACGCUAAUACCGCAUACGACCUACGGGUGAAAGCAGGGGACCUUCGGGCCUUGCGCGAUUGAAUGAGCCGAUGUCGGAUUAGCUAGUUGGCGGGGUAAAGGCCCACCAAGGCGACGAUCCGUAGCUGGUCUGAGAGGAUGAUCAGCCACACUGGAACUGAGACACGGUCCAGACUCCUACGGGAGGCAGCAGUGGGGAAUAUUGGACAAUGGGCGCAAGCCUGAUCCAGCCAUACCGCGUGGGUGAAGAAGGCCUUCGGGUUGUAAAGCCCUUUUGUUGGGAAAGAAAUCCAGCUGGCUAAUACCCGGUUGGGAUGACGGUACCCAAAGAAUAAGCCCCGGCUAACUUCGUGCCAGCCGCCGCUGUAA
rnacentral:rRNA from 1 species